CUGGCAAAGUCCCCCAAAGGGAAGCGCCGCCACCGGCUCGACUUUGCGCGUGCUCGCGACGAUCCCUCCGAACAAGGCUCCCGGUCCGGAAACCAGUAGCCUCCCCUCACACACACACCACCCCCAGACAAAGGACUCCUCGGGCUCCCUUUGCAAAGCGCGCAACGCCAGGCGCCAAAGGCACCGGGCGACGAUGCGCCGAGGGAGAGAGAGAGGCAGGGAAGUCCCCCCUCCCCCCGGCUCAAAGGAAUCGGCCCCAGCGCGUACAUUGGCGGCGGCGGGGGGGGGGGGCGCUGGUGCUGCGCCCGCUCGAGAUCCGGGAGCGCCACCUGCAGCCCCGCCCACUGGGCGCAUCGUGGAGAGAGAAAACCUUCUUGGACAGACCUCCGUUCUCUGCACGCAAUAAGCCCCCUCAAGUCACCAGGAGUUCGGUCCAGCGGCUGAGAGCCGAGGACGGAGUUGGACCGCGUGCCCCUUGUCGAGAUACUGAAAAUGUACUACAAGCCACGUACAUUGAGAAUUCUCCAAGCAAGGCGCCGGCUGACUGUUUUAACAAGGCUGCAAUCCUAAACGCAUUUAGGAAGGACUAAACCCUGCUAAACACGCUGACGCUUACUAUAUGCGUGGGAUUGCACUGUUAAGGUUUUUUUGUGUACUUGGCUUGGUUUUUUCCUUUAGGAGGAUGAACUUAAACGGGGUGGGAAGUUGCAAACAUCUCUCCUUGUCAGAGGUGAUUAAUGCAAAUAUUGGAGUGGAGUGAUCCACAGCACAAUCCUACGCAUAGUAUCUCAAAAGCGAAUCCCACUGUGUUCAAUGGGGCUUACUCCAAGUAAGUGUGCAAUUAUUUUUAACUUUUUACUUACUUGGAAAAAUUUAUAAGCAACUUCAUCAAAGAGCUCUCAGCCCAUGUACAUUAUAAGGUUGCAGAUAAAACAACUAAAAUCUGCAAAGCAAUUAAAAAGAAAACGUGAAAUCAGUUAAACUUUUUAAAUGAAUAUAGGUAACUAAAUUAUAUGUCUGGGUAGGUGUACUGAAAUAAACAUUUUCAUCAGGCGUCUGAGUAAUUGUGUCUAUAGGCAAAGAUAAAAA